CACGGGAGUAGCUGCUCUGUGCUGGUUGCUCAGUGCAAUAGAAAGAGCUUUCCUUUGCUCCCACCCGAGGAGAGCCGCAUUCUUCCACUCUGAGCUCCUCCGAAAGUGAAGCAGAGAGACUGAGAGAGGGUGGGCGGAUUUGUGAAGAAGCAGUAGAGGAAGAAGAUGAUGAUGAAGCUCCCGGGAGGAUCUUUAGAGGGGAGCAGAGAGACAUAGUGUGUAAAGUUGGAAUGGUGGCGGAAAAGUGUGAGUGAAGAUAUGGGGAAUAGGAGCAAGAGCAGCAAUGGGAAGUUGUUGGCAGUUUUACACACUUUUCUAAAGAUGAGUUCGUGUCUGGCACCGUGCCAAGUUACCAAUGGCAGC
ensembl:ncRNA ZC477.16 ncRNA